UGUAGUUUAGUGUAAGAUGCACAUAAAUUUUUGGGUUUUAAGGAUGAGUUUAAUUCUCUACACUACAA
rnacentral:tRNA from 1 species